AGCAAUUUCCUUGAGAUCUGAACUUUUGCAGCCAUUUUUUACUUGAAGCUUGUCUCAAGACCUUAUUCCAUCACCAUCUGGGAGUGCCCUUCUACCAUAACAAGAACAACAGAGUGCCAUGAACAUUCUCUUCCAAGCAUCAGAAUGAAGAACAAUUUUUUACGUUAGAUUGAUGUCGUGCACAACAUGUCCUUAACGAGGUUGUAAGAUUAGAACUUGGACAACUAGAAGAUCGAUAAGGCUUUCGAGGAUAUUGCUCGAAAGACUCUACUCGACAGAAUUAGCAUGUUUUCUUCAAUAGAAAAUGAUCAAUCAUACAGACUGAGAUAAGAAGGUAAUACUUGAGCAUUGCAGGAUUAAUCUUGCAUGACUCUUACAAGUUACAAGGCUGGUGGUACAUUCAAAAGGAUAUACACUGCAAAAUCAAAAGGAUAUUUAAGAAUGUUAAAAUUUAAGGUUUUCCAGGGUUCCUGGGAUCAUGGCGGCUGUUUGCCCCAGAACCCGGGUAGUCGUUGACCUCAAUCUCCAUCCUUGCCAGAGUCUGUUCUGAAACCACCACUGCUGCUUCAUCUUGGUUUCUCAAUGCAAGGCUUCCUGCAACAACAACCGGAUAUGGGA